AAGUAACGAUAAAGCGGGUGAAAAGCCCGCUCGCCGGAAGACCAAGGGUUCCUGUCCAACGUUAAUCGGGGCAGGGUGAGUCGACCCCUAAGGCGAGGCCGAAAGGCGUAGUCGAUGGGAAACGGGUUAAUAUUCCCGUACUUGGUGUUACUGCGAAGGGGGGACGGAGAAGGCUAUGUUGGCCGGGCGACGGUUGUCCCGGUUUAAGCGUGUAGGUGUGUGUUCCAGGUAAAUCCGGUUCACUUUAACACUGAGGCGUGACGACGAGGCACUACGGUGCUGAAGCAACAAAUGCCCUGCUUCCAGGAAAAGCCUCUAAGCAUCAGGUAACAUCAAAUCGUACCCCAAACCGACACAGGUGGUCAGGUAGAGAAUACCAAGGCGCUUGAGAGAACUCGGGUGAAGGAACUAGGCAAAAUGGUGCCGUAACUUCGGGAGAAGGCACGCUGACAC
rnacentral:rRNA from 1 species